GAGACGGACGCAAAGCCGCGAGGGUGGAGCAAAUCCUAAAAGACCGGUCUCAGUUCGGAUUGCAGGCUGCAAUUCGCCUGCAUGAAGUCGGAAUCGCUAGUAAUCGCAGGUCAGCAUACUGCGGUGAAUACCGGUUCCCGGGCCUU
rnacentral:rRNA from 1 species